AAAAGUCGUAACAAGGUUUCCGUAGGUGAACCUGCGGAAGGAUCAUUACCUAGAGUUGCGGGCUCUGCCUGCCAUCUCUUACCCAUGUCUUUUGAGUACCUUACGUUUCCUCGGCGGGUCCGCCCGCCGACUGGACAAACUUAAACCACUUGCAGUUGAAAUCAGCGUCUGAAAAAACUUAAUAGUUACAACUUUCAACAACGGAUCUCUUGGUUCUGGCAUCGAUGAAGAACGCAGCGAAAUGCGAUAAGUAGUGUGAAUUGCAGAAUUCAGUGAAUCAUCGAAUCUUUGAACGCACAUUGCGCCCCUUGGUAUUCCAUGGGGCAUGCCUGUUCGAGCGUCAUUUGUACCUUCAAGCCUUGCUUGGUGUUGGGUGUUUGUCUCGCCUCUGCGCGCAGACUCGCCUCAAAACAAUUGGCAGCCGGCGUAUUGAUUUCGGAGCGCAGUACAUCUCGCGCUUUGCACUCACCACGGCGGCGUCCAAAAGUACAUUUUUUACACUCUUGACCUCGGAUCAGGUAGGGAUACCCGCUGAACUUAAGC
rnacentral:rRNA from 1 species